GACGAACGCUGGCGGCGUGCCUAAUACAUGCCAGUAGAACGCUGAAGAGAGGAGCUUGCUCUUCUUGGAUGAGUUGCGAACGGGCGAGUAACGCGUAGGUAACCUGCCUUGUAGCGGGGGAUAACUAUUGGAAACGAUAGCUAAUACCGCAUAACAAUGGAUGACACAUGUCAUUUAUUUGAAAGGGGCAAUUGCUCCACUACAAGAUGGACCUGCGUUGUAUUAGCUAGUAGGUGAGGUAAUGGCUCACCUAGGCGACGAUACAUAGCCGACCUGAGAGGGUGAUCGGCCACACUGGGACUGAGACACGGCCCAGACUCCUACGGGAGGCAGCAGUAGGGAAUCUUCGGCAAUGGGGGCAACCCUGACCGAGCAACGCCGCGUGAGUGAAGAAGGUUUUCGGAUCGUAAAGCUCUGUUGUAAGUCAAGAACGGGUGUGAGAGUGGAAAGUUCACACUGUGACGGUAGCUUACCAGAAAGGGACGGCUAACUACGUG
rnacentral:rRNA from 1 species